CUUCCCCAGAAGAAUACACUGUUCGAUUAUCCAACUCUAAAUGAUCAUCCCUGAAAACAUACAUACAAGUAACAUUAAACGGGCAAGCAGGUUGUAUGUAGAAGGAUAUAUGUAUGUGCAUAUACAUAUAUGUGUGCAACAACGAUCACAGAAAAUAAUUAUCAUGAAUUUGAAAGAACGCAAAGAGGGUACAUGGAAGGUGUGGAGGGAGGAAAGGAAAAGGGGGAUGAUUAAUUAAAUUGUAAUCUGUGACAUAAAGGAAAUAAUUUUUAAAAUUAGCUUUACUAUGAAAAACUUAAUGAUUCAUUACAUGGAGUGUGGAAAAACAAUGUAAUAUCACAAACCAGAUGGGACUUUGAAAAAAAAAGCACAACUAUUGAUUGGAACUACAGAACGAACUAGUUCACAUAACAUUUUAAUUGGACUUCAGCUAUCAAGUGACGUAGGAAUAUAGUUUAGAAAACAGCCUUUAUAAUCGUACCUAUGUGUUGUAUACAUGAUAGAUGUGAGAAUAGUCAUGUUAUAGUUAAUUUCUGCCAUAUAAAUAUAUCGGUGCAUAGAAGUGUGCAAAGAUUACUUAAAAAUUAAAAUAUGGUUAUUUAUAAUAAUACAAAUUCCUGCUGAUUAUAGAAUUUGUUUACCUCAUGAAUAAUGUCUCAUGCAGUGUUAAUCUAUAAAUGGGAUGUUUAUAUUAAGUUUUCCCCCAACAAGGCACAGACUUGCAGAAGAUGUAAAGACAGUGAGAGUUGGAAGAUAGGAAGAAGGACAGUGAAGUAUCUUCUGGAUACAGUAUGACCAUUGCACACGUGAGCUUACAGCACCUAUGGUUUUAUUAUGAUGUCCUUGACCCCUGGGGCUCCUCCAAUCCUUCCCCUCCUCUUUUGCAAAAUUCCCCAAGCUCUACUUAGCAUCUGGCUGUGGGUGUCUGCAUGUGUUUCCAUCCAUUGCUGGGUAAAGCCUCUUUAAUGCUAGGCUCCUGUCUGUAAGCAGAAUGUCAUUAACAGUGUUAGGGAUGGGCUAACUCUCAUGGCACAGGUCUUGAAAUGAACCAAGUAUUAGUUGGUCAUUCCUUCAAUUUCUGGUUUAUUUUUACUCCUAUACAUCUUGUAGGCAGGACAAAUUGUAGAUUGAAGGUUUCAUGGAUGGGUUGAUGUCCCAAUCCCUCCAUUGGAAGUCUUGUCUGACUACAGGAGCUGGCAGGUUCAGACUCCAUAUUCUCCAUUGCUAGGAGUUUUAGUUAGGGUCCAACCUCCUGGAUUUCUGGGAGUAUCCAUUAUCUUAGGCUUGUAGCUCAUCUCAGAGAUUGCCCCUCCCCCAAUUCUAG
rnacentral:lncRNA from 1 species